ensembl:lincRNA
CAACGUCCCCCACCCCGAUCCCCCACCGUCACCCAGCCCACCCCGCCAACGCCCCCACCGGGUCCCCGGGGCCCCGGCGGGUAAUUACCUCUCUCGGAGGCGGAGCGGGGGGCGGCAGCGGCAGCAGCAGCGGCAGACACUUUUAAUCUGACUUUCCGGCGUUCGCUGGUGAGCCUGUGAGCGCUGAGCAGGAGCAGUAACCUGCUAUUUAUAGACCGGAGCCUCAGCACCCGGGGCUGGGAACCGGGAGGAAGCGAGCCGGAGGCGCGGCGGCGGCGCAGGGCGCAGGGCGCGGGCGGCGGCUCCCGAGGCUCCCGCGCCUCCCUCGGGCUCCCGGUCCCCCCGCGCUCCCAGCUCCCUCACCGGCCGCGCGCGCCCGGGAGAAGUUAUCGCCGGCGCGGCCGCCUCUCCGGCGGCUCACACGCCCCCUGGCACAACCGCUACUUUCUGCCCCCCGCCCCACCCCUCCCUGCACCUCCUCCUCCUCCUCCUCCUCGGCCCUUUCCCAGCGGUCUCCUCCCAAUGUCACCGGCGGCCGAAUAGAGGCAGCGACGGCAACCACAGCGGCGAAACUGGCGCAGCUCGCUUCCCGCUACCGACGGAGUGGAGUUGGUGACCCGGCCGCCCAAUCCACAACGACUCCGACACGCGUGCUCCGUGGGAGGCCUCCCCGCUCCCCGACCUUCUGCCGGGCCCCUCUGCUAGCGGGGAUGGUCCCCAGGCUGCGCUGCUGGGUUCGCCGCUGCGGAGCGCUUUAGGGAGCAGUGACCCGAGGCCGGCACACUGCUCCUGGGGCCACCGAAGCCGCAGGGUUUUUAAGCCGCGGGAGGAGGCGUCCCGGAUCCUGGCUCAGACCCAGGAUCGUGGGGUCGGGAGAGAGUGGGAGGAGGUGUCCCCUGUUCCCCAGACUUCUGCCUGCCACCGCCCUGGGACCCCCGUCUCUCGCCACUCCUCCGCCGUGGCCCAGGAUGAAGUCGAGGGGAGGAGACCUGAGCACCGGCGAGGCUUCCAACUCAGCUCGGUCCCCCGCCACCCACCAACAGCCCCCACGUCGCGGCUCGGUGACUGGGGCCGAGCCGCUCCCAACAAGCAUGUGACAUGCCUUGAGCAGCCCGGGCGCUUGGGGCCAGAUCUACACUCAGCGUUGUUUGGGGUGUCGGGAAAACAGGGUGCCACCUGGCGGUUUUCUUGGAGAGGUUUCCACUCAGCGGCUCAAAGUUUGUUCCGCAGAGACCGGACUCCCCAAGUUGGGAUGGAGAAGUCGAUUUGGGUAAGUCAGGACUCAACAGUCACACAAAGCCGGAAGCUGGAGCUGCCCCCAGCUGCCACCUCUGCUGUCACUCCCUGUGUCUAGGCGUCCCUUCGCUCCGCAAGCACUGAACUGCCUCUAGAGUCGAAGCUCUGCCUAUGAGAGCAGAGACUUGGGUGUUUGGUUUUGUGUUUUCUUCCCCCACCCCCCAACCCCAAUCACUCUUCCUCAGAACUUGGAACCACGCUUAACGUGCAGUUGCUUCCAUAUAUGUUUACAGAAUGAAUUAAUAAACAUUAUGGACCAGAAACUGUGCUUGGCCCAUUCUCACCCUGCAGCCCUUCCCCUUCUUUCUCUUCAAGCUCUUUCUGCUACACUCAGCUACCAUCACAGGUGAGGUGGAUGGAGAGAAGCCGAAACAAAAUAGGCAAGCAAUCCAUGCAGGCCCUGGAGGAUAUGGAUCAUACCUGAGGAGUCCGUUACACAGUGAAAUUUCCCCUUCAUGUGGUGGUACAGAACACACUCCUCUCAAGAAAUGAAAAGAAAAAAAAAACAAAACUGUCAUACUUGGGACUUGAUGCAAUGGAUAAAUCCUGUUUGUAGAGAUCUACUGGCAAGAUGAGGCAACUUUAUCACUGGGCAAGAGUUUCAGCCUUUUUUUAUUAAAAAAAAAAAUACAGAAAUAGCGAAAGAAUAUCAGAACAUCAG